AAACUAAAAGGACGUAUUGAUACUAACCUGAUCAUGAGGGUAAUUUUGCCGGGUGAGGUUUAUCCAUUGUAUACCAGAUGCACUGAGCCCAGCAAUUUCUCUAAAUGUUGGAAAUCUACUGUGUAAUUUGUGGUGGUGGGUGAUUGUGUUCAUAUGUUCCCUUA
ensembl:snRNA U1 U1 spliceosomal RNA